UAGGGAAUCUUCCACAAUGGACGCAAGUCUGAUGGAGCAACGCCGCGUGAGUGAAGAAGGUUUUCGGACCGUAAAGCUCUGUUGUUGGUGAAGAAGGAUAGAGGUAGUAACUGGCCUUUAUUUGACGGUAAUCAACCAGAAAGUCACGGCUAACUACGUGCCAGCAGCCGCGGUAAUACGUAGGUGGCAAGCGUUGUCCGGAUUUAUUGGGCGUAAAAGCGAGCGCAGGCGGAAGAAUAAGUCUGAUGUGAAAGCCCUCGGCUUAACCGAGGAAUUGCAUCGGAAACUGUU
rnacentral:rRNA from 1 species